rnacentral:rRNA from 1 species
GGGUGUCCGGCCACACUGGGACUGAGAUACGGCCCAGACUCUUACGGGAGGCAGCAGUCGAGAAGCUUCGGCAAUGGGCGAAAGCCUGACCGAGCGAUGCCGCGUGAGUGAAGAAGGCCCUAUGGGUUGUAAAGCUCUGUCAGAUUGGGAAGAAAACUCGGCGGUUAAUACCCGUCGAGCUUGACGGUACCAUCAGAGGAAGCACCGGCUAACUCCGUGCCAGCAGCCGCGGUAAUACGGAGGGUGCAAGCGUUGUUCGGAUUCACUGGGUAUAAAGGGUGCGCAGGCGGCCCGAUAAGUCAGGGGUGAAAUAUGACGGCUUAACCGUCAAACUGCCCCUGAAACUGCCAGGCUUGAGUUCGAGAGAGGUAGGUGGAAUUCCAGGUGUAGCGGUGAAAUGCGUAAAUAUCUGGAGGAACACCGGUGGCGAAGGCGGCCUACUGGCUCGAUACUGACGCUCAGGCACGAAGGCAUGGGGAGCGAACGGGAUUAGAUACCCCGGUAGUCCAUGCCGUAAACGAUGGGUACUAGGUGUUGGAGGAUUCUACCCCUUCAGUGCCGCAGCUAACGCAUUAAGUACCCCACCUGGGGAGUACGAUCGCAAGGUUGAAACUCAAAGGAAUUGACGGGGGCCCGCACAAGCGGUGGAGCAUGUGGUUUAAUUCGAUGCAACGCGAAGAACCUCACCUGGGCUUGACAUGCAGGGGACAGAUGUAGAAUACAUCCUUCUUCGGACUCCUGUACAGGUGCUGCAUGGCUGUCGUCAGCUCGUGUCGUGAAAUGUUGGGUUAAGUCCCGCAACGAGCGCAACCCUUGUCUUUAGUUGCCAUCAGGUUAUGCUGGGGACUCUAGAGAGACUGCCGGUGACAAACCGGAGGAAGGUGGGGACGACGUCAAGUCAUCAUGGCCCUUACGCCCAGGGCUACACACGUGCUACAAUGGUCGGUACAGAGGGCUGCAAUACAGCAAUGUGGAGCGAAUCCCAAAAAGCCGGCCUCAGUUCGGAUCGUAGUCUGCAACUCGACUACGUGAAGUUGGAAUCGCUAGUAAUCGCGUAUCAGAACGACGCGGUGAAUACGUUCCCGGGCCUUGUACACACCGCCCGUCAAGUCAACCGAGUUGGCUGCACCCCAAGUCGCUGAGCUAACCCCUUCGGGGGAGGCAAGUGCCCAAGGUGUGGUUGGCGAGGGGGACUAAGUCGUAACAAGGUA